rnacentral:misc_RNA from 1 species
UCCGGUUUGUCACCGGCAGUCAUCUUAGAGAGCCCAUCAUUACAUGCUGGCAACUAAGAUCAAGGGUUGCGCUCGUUGCGGGACUUAACCCAACAUCUCACGACACGAGCUGACGACAACCAUGCACCACCUGUCUCCUUUGUCCCGAAGGAAAGACCUAUCUCUAAGUCGGUCAAAGGGAUGUCAAGACCUGGUAAGGUUCUUCGCGUUGCUUCGAAUUAAACCACAUACUCCACUGCUUGUGCGGGUCCCCGUCAAUUCCUUUGAGUUUCAGUCUUGCGACCGUACUCCCCAGGCGGAAUGCUUAAUGUGUUAACUUCGGCACCAAGGGCAUCGAAGCCCCUAACACCUAGCAUUCAUCGUUUACGGCGUGGACUAC